GAUGAACGCUGGCGGCGUGCCUAAUACAUGCAAGUCGAGCGAACAGACGAGGAGCUUGCUCCUCUGACGUUAGCGGCGGACGGGUGAUUAACACGUGGAUAACCUACCUAUAAUACUGGUAUAUCUUCGGGAAACCGGAGCUAAUACCGUAUAAUAUAUUGAACCGCUUGGUUCUAUAGUGAAAGUCGGUUUUUCUUUCUCUUAUAGCUGGAUCCCCUCCGCAUUAGCUAGUUGGUAAGGUAACGGCUUACCAAGGCAACGAUGCGUAGCCGACGUGAGAGGGGGAUCGGCCACACUGGAACGGAGACACGGACAAGAGAACUACGGGAGGAAGCAGAAGGGAAUGUUCCGCAAUGGGGGAAAGCCUGACGGAGAAACGCCGAGGGAGUGAGGAAGGACUUCGGAUCGUAAAACUCUGUUAGUAGGGAAGAACAAAUGUGUAAGUAAAUAUGAACGUAUUGACGGUACCUAAUAAGAAAGCAACGGCUAACUACGUG
rnacentral:rRNA from 1 species